GACGAACGCUGGCGGCGUGCCUAAUACAUGCAAGUCGAGCGAGCGGAACCAACAGAUUUACUUCGGUAAUGACGUUGGGAAAGCGAGCGGCGGAUGGGUGAGUAACACGUGGGGAACCUGCCCCUAAGUCUGGGAUACCAUUUGGAAACAGGUGCUAAUACCGGAUAAUAAAGCAGAUCGCAUGAUCAGCUUUUGAAAGGCGGCGUAAGCUGUCGCUAAGGGAUGGCCCCGCGGUGCAUUAGCUAGUUGGUAAGGUAACGGCUUACCAAGGCGACGAUGCAUAGCCGAGUUGAGAGACUGAUCGGCCACACUGGGACUGAGACACGGCCCCAGACUCCUACGGGAGGCAGCAGUAGGGAAUCUUCGGCAAUGGGGGGCAACCCUGACCGAGCAACGCCGCGUGAGUGAAGAAGGUUUUCGGAUCGUAAAGCUCUGUUGUAAGAGAAGAACGUGUGUGAGAGUGGAAAGUUCACACAGUGACGGUAACUUACCAGAAA
rnacentral:rRNA from 1 species